rnacentral:lncRNA from 1 species
GUUUAAAUCCUCCCAGAUUAUCCCUGCAUCUUAGGCCACUGGAGGCAGAGCUUCCACAUGCCAUUCUCCAGAAAGAUCCCCAGGAAGAUUGAUCAAAAGGUCUCCUCUAUCAUCACCUGGCCACAUGAAACUUUUGAGAUGCAGUCCAGGAACCUGCAAGAACGAGAGGAGUUGGGCUCACACCUGAGCACUUUGCUUGGGGCACUGCUGCCCAGCGGUUUGCUCCAGAAGUGGCUCCAAGGGGCUGAAUGGGAAGCAGGAGGCCAUUAGGACCCAGAAGCUCUUGGAGCAUCCUGCUUUGCCGGCUGCCUCUCACUGCUCACUGCAGUGGUUCAGGCUUCAGCAGCCUUGGAGAAGCAUCAGCUGAGAGGAGCUAUCACAUGGGAGCCAGG